rnacentral:rRNA from 1 species
UACGAAGGGUGCGAGCGUUGUUCGGAAUUAUUGGGCGUAAAGGGUUCGUAGGCGGGAAUUUAAGUUGAAUGUGAAAACCCUGGGCUCAACCCGGGACGUGCAUUCAAAACUGAAUUUCUUGAGUGUUGGAGAGGGUGGUGGAAUUGCUGGUGUAGGAGUGAAAUCCGUAGAGAUCAGCAGGAACAUCGGAGGCGAAAGCGACCGCCUGGCCAAACACUGACGCUGAGGAACGAAAGCAUGGGGAGCAAACAGG